AUUGAACGCUGGCGGCAGGCCUAACACAUGCAAGUCGAGCGGAUGAAGGGAGCUUGCUCCUGGAUUCAGCGGCGGACGGGUGAGUAAUGCCUAGGAAUCUGCCUGGUAGUGGGGGAUAACGUCCGGAAACGGGCGCUAAUACCGCAUACGUCCUGAGGGAGAAAGUGGGGGAUCUUCGGACCUCACGCUAUCAGAUGAGCCUAGGUCGGAUUAGCUAGUUGGUGGGGUACAGGCCGACCAAGGCGACGAUCCGUAACUGGUCUGAGAGGAUGAGCAGUGACGCUCGAACAGGAACAUGGGCCACACUGCGACGGGGGCCAGCCGUGGGCUACAUUGGACAGCAGGCGAAGGCCUUUUCCAGCCAUGCGCCGUAUGUGAACAAAGUCUUGCCAUGUGGAAGUACAUGACGUUCGGGUCAAGAGCAGUAUGUUAAGACCUUGCUGUAUUGACGGUACCUGCAGAAUAAGCACCGGCUAACUUCGUG
rnacentral:rRNA from 1 species